CCUACGGGGUGCAGCAGUCGAGAAUCAUUCACAAUGGGGGAAACCCUGAUGGUGCGACGCCGCGUGGGGGAAUGAAGGUCUUCUGAUUGUAAACCCCUGUCAUGUGGGAGCAAAUUAAAAAGAUAGUACCACAAGAGGAAGAGACGGCUAACUCUGUGCCAGCAGCCGCGGUAAUACAGAGGUCUCAAGCGUUGUUCGGAAUCACUGGGCGGAAAGCGUGCGUAGGCGGUUUCGUAAGUCGUGUGUGAAAGGCGCGGGCUCAACCCGCGGACGGCACAUGAUACUGCGAGACUAGAGUAAUGGAGGGGGAACCGGAAGUCUCGGUGUAGCAGUGAAAUGCGUAGAUAUCGAGAGGAACACUCGUGGCGAAGGCGGGUUCCUGGACAUUAACUGACGCUGAGGCACGAAGGCCAGGGGAGCGAAAGGGAUUAGAUACCCCAGUAGUC
rnacentral:rRNA from 1 species